rnacentral:rRNA from 1 species
UACAGAGGUCCCAAGCGUUGUUCGGAUUCACUGGGCGUAAAGGGUGCGUAGGUGGCUUUGCAAGUCUGAUGUGAAAUCUCCGGGCUUAACCCGGAAAUGGCAUUAGAAACUGUGAGGCUUGAGGCUUGGAGGGGGAACUGGAAUUCUCGGUGUAGCAGUGAAAUGCGUAGAGAUCGAGAGGAACACCAGUGGCGAAGGCGAGUUCCUGGACAAGUCCUGACACUGAGGCACGAAAGCCGGGGGGAGCAAAACAGGG